rnacentral:tRNA from 1 species
GGCUCCAUAGUGUAGUGGUUAGCAUGUCUGUUUUACAUGCGGAAGGUCCUGGGUUCGCAUCCCAGGUGGAGCCA